GGAGUGGUGGCGGAGUGGUCUCAUGCGUAAGACUCAGAAUCUUGUUCCUUCGGGAGCAUCGGUUCAAAUCCGGCCCGCUUCG